AGAAACCAGAGGAGAGCAGUCAAGAAGCCCAGUUAGCCAGCACACCUGAGGAGCGAAGGCACAGCCAGAGGGAACGGCUCAACCAGAUCCUGCUCAACCUCCUUGAGAAAAUACCUGGGAAAAAUGCCAUUGACGUGACCUACCUGCUGGAGGAAGGGUCCGGCAGGAAACUGCGAAGGCGCACUUUGUUUAUACCAGAAAAUAGCUUUCGGAAGUGACUCUCAAAAGGAUGAGAACCGCGAGCGAGCACCUGGGAUCCAACGGCACCAUCAAGUCCAGCCUCUUGCUCUCUGGACAUGGACUGGGGCAGAAAAGUUCUGUUCAGGCAAGGGGGGUGGGGUCACGUUUCUGACAUGGUACUUUCUAAAGCUCGGAGCUAGUGGAAAGGGAAAGGAAGUAGGCUUGUCUGAGACGGGUGCGUUUACUUCUCUCUCUGGCUUCUCCUGAGGGUUAACAGAGACAGGAGGACCACACUUGGAGUAGCCAGAAGCUACUGGUACUUUCCAGCACUUCCAAAGGGAAGGGUCCGGACCCAGCCUGCCCCGUUUAUCUCUUAGCUCUAAGAGCUACGUCAGAGACCUAAACAGGUACAGUAGCUGAGGCCUCUUUUAAGUUCCUUUAACGGGAAAGUUCUUUCUCCCUUCUUGCCCAACCAGGUCAAAGUACUAGAACAUGAAUCAGCUGCUCAGAGCACUUAGAACUGCUGCCACUCUCCCUACCUCUGUUCCCAGAGUAGAGUCAGUAGAACCAGGGAGGCGGAGAGGCCCCCAUGGGGUCCGAAGGGCAGUAUUGGUAAUUAUUUUUGGUUUACCCUUCAUAACCUGCCGAACAUACUUUUUCCUCCUGAGAAAGCCCAGCCCCCGCCAGCACACAUGCUGCUUCUCUUCCUGUGUGUCUGCUGUGCAAAAGAUUCACGUCCAAGAAAGAAAAACGGUUUGUAAAACUGCAUAAACCCUCUACACUUCUCCCCUAACAAAACUCACUACAGAACUGUUGAGCAGUGUUCACUCUCGGAGUGUUUGUUCUAAGUGUAGGUUACCGACUGAAACACUACUCUUAUUUUCUUAACUGUAUAGUUCCGGUGUCCGUCCCUCCCACGAGUCCCAUUUUCCUUCCACCUUUCUGAAUGACUUCAUCAUCAGGAGGUAUAGCCAGGGUCACCUUCUCACCCAGUCUCUUGACCAGAAGUUACCAGACCAUACUGUCUCUUUACAAGUAAAAUUCAAAAAGCUUUGCUUUGUCUUCUCAGACAUACAUAUGCAUAUACAUUUUAGAUGUUCUUAUAAGAGAAAAGAUGGUUUUUAAAUGUGCCAAGUUAUGUGUGUGUAUAAAUAUAUAUAUGUGUGUGUGUGCGUGUAUAUAUAUAUAUGUGUGUGUGUGUAUGUGUAUAUAUAUAUGUGUGUGUGGGUGCGAGUGUGCGAGUAUGUGUAUGUGGGGGUGGGUGCGCGUGUGUGUGUGUGUGUGUAUGCUGUGAGAUUGGUAAGCAAUACAUUAGUAAACACAUCUUCAUUACUCUUUUCCAAUACUGGACCAAUGAUGUCCUAACUGUACAUUUCCUUCCCCUUAUGAUGACGACGCUCUGACUCAUUUAGGUAGAGACAUUUGACCACCUUCAUUCCAUUGAUUUUUUUUUUCUCCUUUCUGUGUUAUUCUUAAGGGAAAAGAGAGAGAGAGAAAGAGGGGAUGGCAUAGAUCCCCUUGAGCAGAGAAAAAGCAAAAUAUUUUAUUAAAGAAAAAAAGAAAUUAAGAAAAUAGUUUGGAGUAUUUUCUUACUGUAGAGAAGCAUUGUACAUUACCACGAGACCUGGGUAUGAGAUGCUCGCGCGUGGCGCUGGGGAGCGCAUGGCCAAGCCCACUGGAGUGGUUUCUUUUGUUUCUCAUUGCAGGGAGGGGGAGGGGGGAGGACUAAGGGCACUUUGGGGGUCUCCUUUUAGUCAAAAGCAAGAAAAUGACAAGAAAGAGAUUAAAUUCAAUGUUUUCCUUUAAUAGUGUUAAACACUAAAAUUUUAAAAU
rnacentral:lncRNA from 1 species